CCUUUGUUGCCAGCGAUUCGGUCGGGAACUCAAAGGAGACUGCCAGUGAUAAACUGGAGGAAGGUGGGGAUGACGUCAAGUCAUCAUGGCCCUUACGACCAGGGCUACACACGUGCUACAAUGGCGCAUACAAAGAGAAGCGACCUCGCGAGAGCAAGCGGACCUCAUAAAGUGCGUCGUAGUCCGGAUUGGAGUCUGCAACUCGACUCCAUGAAGUCGGAAUCGCUAGUAAUCGUGGAUCAGAAUGCCACGGUGAAUACGUUCCCGGGCCUUGUACACACCGCCCGUCACACCAUGGGAGUGGGUUGCAAAAGAAGUAGGUAGCUUAACCUUCGGGAGGGCGCUUACCACUUUGUGAUUCAUGACUGGGGUGAAGUCGUAACAAGGUAACCGUAGGGGAACCUGCGGUUGGAUCACCUCCUUACCUGAAAGAAGC
rnacentral:rRNA from 1 species